rnacentral:rRNA from 1 species
GACGAACGCUGGCGGCGUGCCUAAUACAUGCAAGUAGAACGCUGAAGGAGGAGCUUGCUCUUCUGGAUGAGUUGCGAACGGGUGAGUAACGCGUAGGUAACCUGCCUGGUAGCGGGGGAUAACUAUUGGAAACGAUAGCUAAUACCGCAUAACAGUAGAUGUUGCAUGACAUUUGCUUAAAAGGUGCAAUUGCAUCACUACCAGAUGGACCUGCGUUGUAUUAGCUAGUUGGUGGGGUAACGGCUCACCAAGGCGACGAUACAUAGCCGACCUGAGAGGGUGAUCGGCCACACUGGGACUGAGACACGGCCCAGACUCCUACGGGAGGCAGCAGGAGGGAAUCUUCGGCAAUGGACGGAAGUCUGACCGAGCAACGCCGCGUGAGUGAAGAAGGGUUUCGGAUCGUAAAGCUCUGUUGUAAGAGAAGAACGAGUGUGAGAGUGGAAAGUUCACACUGUGACGGUAUCUUACCAGAAAGGGACGGCUAACUACGUG